UACAGAGGUCUCAAGCGUUGUUCGGAUUCAUUGGGCGUAAAGGGUGCGUAGGUGGCGCCGUAAGUCGGGUGUGAAAUCUUGGAGCUUAACUCCGAAACUGCAUUCGAUACUGCCGUGCUUGAGGACUGGAGAGGAGACUGGAAUUUACGGUGUAGCGGUGAAAUGCGUAGAUAUCGUAAGGAAGACCAGUGGCGAAGGCGGGUCUCUGGACAGUUCCUGACGCUGAGGCACGAAGGCCAGGGGAGCAAACGGG
rnacentral:rRNA from 1 species